ensembl:lncRNA
CUUGAUUCUUCUACAGAUAUGUAAUCAAUAGAAGUCAUAAACUGUAUUCUCUCAUAAACAUGCAGUAGAAUCCUUAAACAUUUUUACAGAGGGCUGAUUUAAAUAAUUGUAAGGGUGGUUAUUAAAAGACAAUCAAUAGUAUAAAAAAGCAUUCUGUGAUUGUUACCAUUUUCAUUAAUACAUUUUUAAAUAAAAUUAUUAUCUUUCAGAGUGCAUAGUUUUUAUAUAUUUUUAUUUCUAUAAUGCUAUUUAAUAGAAUCUCACUAUGAACUAACAUGUGCAUUUAUUCCUUCAGGGCAAUUUAUUAGAUAUGGAUCUUAUUUGAAUUUUAUCUAGAGCCACUGUAUACAGAAAAUACUUUAAAAAGACAUUAAAUCUAUUAACCUAUUGUGGGAAUUUCUGUUGUUCUCUCAGUUGUGGUGCUUUCUGUUGUUGUGGUACCUGAGGUGGUGCUUUCAGUAGUUGUGGUUUCCAAUGUUGUACUUUCUGAAGUUCUGGUGGUGCUUUCUGUUGUUGUAGUGUCUGUUGUGGUCUCAGCUGUUGUGGUACCUGUAGUGGUGCUUUCUGGUGUUGUAGUGUCUGUUGUGGUUUCUGCUGUUGUGGUACCUGUAGUGGUGCUUUCUGGUGUUGUAGUGUCUGUUGUUAUCUCGGUUGUGGUGCUUUCUGGUGUUGUGGUACCUGUAGUGGUGCUUUCUGGUGUUGUAGUGUCUGCAGUGGUGUCGGUUGUGGUGCUUUCUGAAGUUGUAAUGGUAGUGGUGGUACUUUCUGUUGUAGGGCUUUCUGUUGUUGUGGUCUCGGUUGAUGUGCUUUCUUGCGUUGUGGUAGCUGUAGUA